rnacentral:rRNA from 1 species
GACGAACCGUGCGAACGUUGUUCGGAAUCACUGGGCUUAAAGGGCGCGUAGGCGGGCAAUCAAGUCUGAGGUGAAAUCCUCCAGCUUAACUGGAGAAGUGCCCUGGAUACUGAUUGCCUCGAGGAUGGUAGGGGCAUCUGGAACUAGCGGUGGAGCGGUGAAAUGCGUUGAUAUCGCUAGGAACUCCGGUGGCGAAGGCGAGGUGCUGGACCAUUUCUGACGCUGAGGCGCGAAAGCCAGGGGAGCGAACGAG